UUGCAUGAUGUUGAUCAACUCGUUCAUUUUGUCUUUUAGCUCGAGCAUAUCUGUGUUUGGGAGAUCCAUCAGUCUUGGAGUAUUGUGUCUGGUGAAGUAUCUGUGAGGACGGGUUGAGUGCAAAGGUACGGUUCUACGAGCGCGAGCAAUGAUUCCUGCAAAACAGCAAACAGGUUAAUAUGCAUGAAUGCAACGUCUAUCCAUAUGAGGAAGAUUCUGUCUUUUGAUUCUGGUUUCAUCGAGACAGAUAAUAUUUCAUGAUUCCUGCAAAACAGCAAACAGGUUAAUAUGCAUGAAUGCAACGUCUAUCCAUAUGAGGAAGAUUCUGUCUUUUGAUUCUGGUUUCAUCGAGACAGAUAAUAUUUCACCAAUAACAUUUUGACAUCCAGAUGUCUCUCAACCAGAUUCUCAAUCCAUAAUGCUCCCCAUAUGGCUAGACAUAGGUUUGGUGCAGAUGAAUGCAAAAUGAGAAUGAUGUAUGAAUGCAAUGCACUGUGCCAUCCUCCAAGUCAUCUGAUCAUCUGUUGCUCUGAAUCACAGCCCUGAUUUCUGAACUGAUCAUAACCAUCUGAGGGAACUGUAACCACAAAUCUGACCCACGGGUUCCGAAAUAAACGGAAGAAAGAUACACCAUCAUCAUCAUCAUCAAUCUCUGAGCAGACAUUCACAACCCUCUGAAUCGGCCAGGGGAAUCCGAAAUAAACGGAUCCCCACUGAUAAAUAUCUCGGCCCGGGGAAUCCUGAAAUAAACAGAUCCCCACUGAUAAAUCACGGACAGCACUCCGGCGUCACGGCAAUAAAUGACCAUAAAUCCGACUUAUAAAUAUGACUCGGAUCCACGGAACAAAAAGUCACCAUUCGAGUCACCAUCAAUCACCAUCUGUACCUGUUAAAAUGAUCAUUCCCUCCCCACUCACGGGUGUCAUCUAGCCAGAAAUGGGUAAGAGUCAAAGAAACGCGAAGCAUAAAUAAACCUUUUCGCAGAAUACCAUCAUAUAGCACACACCCGAAGAUAGUAACGAAAUAUUCCACCAGUGGUCUGAACAGCUGACCUUGUGAGUGCAAUUGUCCGUAAGUGGCGCAUACCACCCACUUUCCCAUGCAUCACUCAUUUAGUUCCUAGGGUUUCCUAGCAUUUCAAUCAUAGCCUCGGUAUUGCGGCCUUUACCUCGAGUAACUCCCACCCCAAAACAGAGGGGAACACCUGACAGAGUACAGGCAACAAUAGAUAGUAUGAUGCUAUGCAGAUCAUUAAUUCCAAAGUAUAGAUAACACGUGGUCCUAGGAAUAAAUAAAUGGCAGAUAAUAAACAACACACAAUAAUGCCAACCCAAACCAAUCCUAAAACGUAGGAAGACUCGGCUGUAGGGACGAUGGACCGAGAUAGGUCUUACAUUCUGAGUCCCCAGGCAAAGUCGCCAGCUGUCGCAUCCGUGAAAAAUCAACCGGCGAAGCCUAAAAUAAAACACACAGAGCCGCCACUAAACGUUAUUAUCCCAAGAUAGGGAAAGGAAACGCUCAGAAAACCUGGGAAAGACAUGGUCUCACGACCAGAGGAUAAAAGGUUCGGGAGCGUUACCUGAGGGAAGGUAUUAGCACCCCUCACGUCACUAGUACUCCUAGGAUCCAACGUCCUAGAAAUAAAGAAAGGUUGCUAAACAUCACACACAACAACGGGAACCAGCUGGUGUAGAGGAACGAGGCUCCGAAUAAGUUAUCGGCCACCUAUCCUAGCAUUCUUGUACUGGAACAAGAAGUCAGACCACUGUUAGUUCGCUUAGCGCACGCCAAACAACACAGAAAACAACACAAACAUGCAAGGGUGGCAAACUGAGAGCCCGACACCACUGGAUGGAAUACGUCGCAUCCGAACCAGGAACCACCACUCAAAAGGGCAAACGUGGAGCACGACUGCCAAUCAACUGGCUUACGUCGGCAUCCAACCCAAACAACCAGUAGAUAACAAGUAAAACACACGCAAAAAAGAGAAAAAAGGUUGCCCGGAUGGUCUCGCACGACCACCUGCUACGAUACCCUCGUCGGCACGAGGAUCAGGGCGAGUAGUUCCCUGAAGGGACUUAAAUUGCAAACCGAAAACCGGGGGAAGAUACACAGAUCUAGGGAGCUGAGACUCGAAGCGGCCUAAUGUGUGUAUGCUCGUUAACCCAAGUUCGCGUUUCUCUAUCCACUUGCAUAGCAAACUAACCUAACCAGGAAAAAGCUAGCACACAAGCUACAAUCAUAUAUCAUCAAAUGAGAACAGGUAUCUCAAACAAGCAUGGUCAAUCAGAUAUCCACAUAGCACACGCUAUAACCAAACAAGGGGCUCAAUCAAUCAGGUUUGACUGCCUAAGCAAGUCGUCUGUACAGGCUGGUUUUUGCUCUUAAACCUUGCCAUUACGAGGCUAAGGUGUUGAAGCAGAUGAAAGGAUGAAGUGAGGAUCAGACCUCACAGCUCUUAUCCCUAACCAGGGAGAGCUGACAAAAUGAGCAUGGGUCCAGAAUAGGGGAACCCCUUAUACUCGAUGACUCUGACACAACAGAUCUUGGCUUUGAUCUCGAUGCUACAACCAUGUAAUGGAGCAAUGAGAAGACUCACAGAAUAGUGGGGGGUAGCUGCAUACCCCUACCUUCCACCAAUGCCUUACUUGAAGCUUUUCCUGCUUGGCUUAAAAAUAAACAUACACAAGCAUUGGCCUCUUAAGGAGGACUUCAGACAAUUUGCCCGGCCCGGAACAGCCGGGCUCCAGACUACAAGAAGUUUUAAGAAGUUACCUCAAUGCAAAUUGCUUAUGCAAAGCGAAGCAAAGCCAAUAGUUCACAAGGAACUGAGAGCAACUAAGUACCUGAAAACAAUCAAACUCAGUCAGUACUCAAGCAGAAAAACUGUAAACAACAAACAAUUAACCAGUCAAACUAUACAACACAAAGCAAGCUCAAGGCUUAAGCCCAAGCUUCAACCCGCAAAACCAAUGUUAUGUUAGUACAAACAUCCACAACAUCAAUUAAAAUGAUUUGGACCAUUAUCCAUUCAUGCUUUUAAUCCUGAAAAAUCAAGCAAACAUUAGCAACUAGACCACUAGGCCGAGCCUAGGGUCCAAAAGCAAGAAAAAAAUUUAAACAGCAAGGUAUUCAUCAACCAAUCUCAAAUAACAUCAAACAAGAGCAAACAUCAUUGGUCUCAUGUUUAAUUCAUCCAUCAUGUUCAAUUCAUGCACAAACAAUCCCUAUUGGUCCAUAUGAAGCACCAAAAUACAAACAGAAGUAUUUCAUCAAAGCCAUGCCAAAACACAUCAAAAAAAAUCUCAAAUUAAAUACACCUAAACAGGGGUCAAUCAAGUCUACCAUUUCAAAUUUGAGCUCAAUUGGCAAAUGGAACCAUGUCAAUGAAAAUCAACAAAAACAGACACAAUUACAUGCUUCAAUUCACACCAUCAAGCAUACAUCCACUCAAAAAUUCAAUAUCUCAUUGGAACUAAAAGAAAUGAUGAGACCAAAAAGGGAGGUCUAACAUGUGUUAGUUCAUGCAUAUCAAAUUUCAUGGCCAUACAUACAAUAUGAGGAUUCCCAAUCAAUUCCAACAUGUAUCACAUGAGCUUGCAAUUUCAACAACCAGAAAUAUGAAAAAUCAAGUUAUAAUUGAAAAUACAGGAAAAAUCCUACAAAAAUUCAUCAAGCAUCCUAACAUGUCAACAAAGUCAUCACUGCAAAAUUUCAGCCAAUUCCAACAUGCUAGUCAUCCAAUUAAAUAUCAACAAGUUGACAUCAGAGGUGUGACACAAAUUGUCACACCUAGUUCCAGAUUUUGCUGCUCUCUAACCAGUAUCAAAAAUUCAUGAAAUUUACAUAUAAAUAAUCCUCAAUGAGUCAACGACCACACAAAACUUUUUAGCCAUUAUUUUAUGAUAUGGUAGUUCAUGAUCAAAUUGCCAAAAUUAUCAAAAUGUAACACAUGUGAGAAACCCUAGGGCAAUGAUUUUCUACCAAGUACAACUUUGACCAAUAGGUCAAAAAAACCUACAACAAGGUCACAAAGUCAUAGAAAAAUCUCCAAUUUUAGAAUUUUUUACUAUUUUUUAUGAAUUUUUAAAGUGUUAAAUAUUUUUAUGAAUUUUAAUGAAUUAAUAUAAUUAAAUUAAGAUGAAUUGUGUGUUACAGCAAUGGCAGUACCAACAAAGUCAAAUGAAUUAAACUGUCCAAUGCCAACUCCGCGCCUCAUUUAUUUGCUGGCAGUACCUGAUUCGCUUACGGAGGGCGGGAACAGAAAUUUGAAAAAAAAACCAAGCCAGCAUGGAUCUGUCACGACGUUUUUCCAAGAAGCGACACUAUUCAUCCCGUGUUCAUAGCUCCUUCAACGGCGGGAUGCGGUUACGACCAAAUCUCCACCAAAAUUCGCAAGGCGGCAUAUGGUUGGAAAUUCUAAGAGUGUGACAUCACGAAUACGUACCGAAAUCUCCUAAUUCCAACUAUGCUAGACGGAUUCGAACGGUUAAAGGUUUGAACACAAAACUUCAAAUCGAGAUUCUUUAACUCACUCAAAUCAUUUCAUAAAGCGCAAGUCUCAUGCUAACCUAUGAUGAUGAACGAUCUACACAAUUCAUAUAACAAUUUACAAAACCGUUGAGAUUCGAAUUCGCACCUUUGUUUGAUGACAACCCAUGAUUCGUGAUGUUUUGAUGCGCAAUUCCUGAAACAGGUGGAGCUUGAUGAUGGAGAAGGAGAAUGCAACUUGUAGCUUGGCUCGAAUUUGCUCCUAGUGCAGAAAUUCCAAUUCACCAUUGAUCACACACUUUGAACAGUGGAGAUUCGCGGAGCUUCUUGAUGCAAUUUGCCAAAACAGUUCAAGGAGAAGAGGAUUGGAGAUGGAAUCAAAAAGACAUUUUUCGAAUUCCAUGGAGAAUUGGAAGAUUUGAAGGAUUUUUGUGUUUUGUUCUUAGAGAGAAAGUGAUGAAUUUGAGGGAAUUUGGAUCUGAUUUUGGGAUUGUGAAUUUUCUGUUAUAUUAGGAAGUGUUUAUGAAUUUAUAUGUAGCUUAAUCAUUCACUAAUCAAGUUAAUUAGUAAAUGGUAAUGUUAAGUGAAAGUGUCAUUUUCAAAGGAGGGGUAAAAUGGUAAAUACACAAUGACAGCUAGUGCCAGCUGUUUUGACAGCCCAAGCAAUCCCCAAAUGACAUAUGUAGAUGUAGAAACUUGUUCAUGUCGCAGUAGUGAGUAUUUCUCAAAAUUCACAUGGUAUGGUGGUAAUUGAUCCAUUUUUGACCAUUCAUUUUUCAAACCAAAAUCCAAUCACAUGCCUUAACCAUGAAAUGAAUAUCAGAAACACAUUAAAAUGCCAUCCUGAGGUGUUGGAAAAAGCCCAUUCAAAAAUUCAUUAUUUGACAUUUGACAAUUUUGCCCCUGAUCCAAUUCAGUUCCAGUUGAAAAGUGACUUUUUGCCUUGGCCAUUUUUGGAAAAUCCAAUGAAUGCACCCUCCAAAUACAUGUCAAAUGGAGUUUGUGCAUAUAAAGAACUUGCAAUUUGGAACAAAGUAUGUGGUAGUUAUGGCCUCCUGAUUACGGUCUUUUCUGAAAUUCAAUGAGCCAUAUCUUGCAAACCACACAUUGGAUUUUCAAGUCUUGGACUUUUUGGAAAGGUGUGGGAACAAGAUCUAAUCGUUAUGUUGAAACAAUUCUUCAUUUGAAGCUUCCUGGACAUCUGUUUUUAAGUGUCAAAAACUUUCCAUUUUUGGAAACUUCAGUUACAAGUCACUGCUAUUUUUAGGCAGUUUUUGUCCUGACCUUGAUUUUUUCUUUCUUUUAAGCUUUGAGAUGUCAUUUAACACUUGUCCAACAUGAAUGAAGUGUGUCUAACUUGUCCACCUCCAAAUCCACCAGAUCAUGUACAGUUGACCACAGUUGACUUUUCAUCUGACAGAUGAAUGGCUAGCAAUGCAUAGAGCAAUUUGAACCCCAAUCUCAACUGAAAUGCUUCAAGGGUGAUACCCUAGCCUCCAUAAGCACCAUGUAGUCACAAAAUGAUCCUCAUCUCCUCCAUAAACCCCCAUCUCCUGAUCCAGCCCUGAUUGUUCCCAAGUACAAGAGCCCCUGCAUUAGGGUUGACCAGUGGUCAAAACCCUAAUCUCAAGGAAUCUUCUCCAAUCUCCUGAUGACAUCCAACCAUGAUGAUGAUGAUGUAUCAAUUCAAACAAUAUGAAGACCAAUAUCCUUGGAAAUCAUGAAACCCUAAUUUCAGCCCCAUCCUCAGAUGGCCAUGAUCAGUCAGUAAAACCCUGGCUUGCACCUUUGAACUUCCUCAGCUUCUGUCAAGACUUGGGAAGAUGGCUUGCACAAUGUAACCACAUGAUAUGCAAUAUGGAAUGCCUAAAGUCCUAAGAUGAUAUGCAAAUAUGUUAAUGCUAGUCCCAAGAGAGGAGGGCAAAUUUUGAGGUGUUACAGUUUGUUAUCGUCUCCACAGGGAUUAUGUGAUAUUGCUGCCGUUUGACAGUUGUUAAGUUCUUAACUUAUAGUAACAAGGGGGUUUUAGAUUGUGGUUACGGUAUCUUGCAUAAAAAGUAAGAAAUUGCGUAAAAGUUUUGGUUUUACGAUUUGAGAAAGAUUGUCAAAGUUAGGGUUCGACGAUCACUUUGCAUGCAUAUGUCCGAUCAAACAAUACUCAUAAACUCCAUUAGAUCAUAAACACAUCCACAAAGUCCUCCCGAUGUGUUUAUCUCUAACACAUAUUGUGGGUUUUCCCAUUAUGAUCCAUUGUUGAUCUCUCAAACAAUCUAUCAAAAUGACAACUUUUAGGUUUAACUUUUUAGUGAACAAACUCAUUCAAUACUAUCUCUAGCUAAAGAACAAGGAUGGAUGAAAACCUUAGGUCAAGAGUUGGGAAGACACCUUUCAAUAAUAAACCAACACAAAGAGUUAUCAAUAAAAUAAAGUUUCACCUAUAUAUUCAUCAUCAAAGAGUUUACAAAUGAAGAUCAAUCCAUUUACAUACAAUGCUUAUGAUCAUCUACAUCUAACCUUGACAAAAUGAAGGAUUAGCUUACCAUUUUCAUGGUAGCUUGCACAACAAGUUUCGGAAGAAGGUUGAUCAACAUCCGAGUCGAAGAAUCGAGAUUGGAUGGGAAUCCACCUUCUUUUUGUGAAAUAUUAUCAAGAGAAGAAGAAAUAUGAGAAAAAGGGGUUUCUAAGCCAAAAAACAAGUAAAAAGAUGAUCCCAAGAAAAAUGAAGAUGAAAAGAUGUUGUUCCAAAAAGUAGCCCCUGCUAUUUAUAGUACUGGUUACUGAGUUGUCAUGCUCGCUAGGCGAGCAGAAUGGUUCGCCUAGCGAGCCCCAAAAUAGGCCACCAAAAGAGGUUGCGCCCAGAGGAAUCAUCCAAGUCCAGUUUUCAUCAGUUCGCUAGGCGAAGCCCACACUUCCUCCUUCGCUCCAGCGAGACUUGAGGGUUUUGCUACUGGAAUUGCUCGCUGGGAGCUCGCUGGAUGUUAUCCUAGAGAAUGUUGGUGAAUAAGCCACUGGAAGCGUUCGCUACUUCCCUCGCCACAACGAGUUUUGAUCAUUUUGCUACUGUAAAAUUCUAGGAGUGUUCGCUGGUAACUCGCUGCCUGUUUGCCUAGCGAGUACCUCGCUACCUCACUCGCCUAGCGAGCUUGCUGAUGUUUGCUUUCUUUAUUGGUUCCUUUGCCAUCUUUCUUAUGCCUUAGUUUUCUACUCUUUCAUGCCUAAUUCCUGCAUAAUAACACACAAAUUAAAGGUACCAAGAUCAUUUCACAUUGUAUUGCAAAUCAUCAAAAGCAAGGGCGGUUUCGAACACUUUUUCGACAAAAAGGAGUGAAAGAUGCCCACAUUUGAUAGCUCAAAUACAAGAUCAUUUCACAUUGUAUUGCAAAUCAUCAAAAGCAAGGGCGGUUUCGAACACUUUUUCGACAAAAAGGAGUGAAAGAUGCCCACAUUUGAUAGCUCAAAUAAACACACUUUGGCAUCUAACACACCAUAUCAAAAUUUCUCUUGUAAAGCACAUCAUCAUUGAGGUAGAAACUGCCUGACAAUCUCCUCAAGGUCUUCCUAUCUUUCACAGAUGCCCUAGGCGGGUAAAUCUGGCUCUGAAGGAAACACUUGAUAUCAUAGUACCACGGCUUAUCAUCCUUCACGUCUUCAAUUGUAAAUACAUGAGCUGGUCUAUCCAAGCGCAUUACAGUGAUGUUGGGAACUUCAUUCCAAAGUCUUACCAUAAUCAUCAAAGCAAGUGUAGCGAGAGCGUCUGCCAUCCAAUUCUCAUCUCGAGGAAUAUGAUGGAAGUCAACCUCAGUAAAGAACGUUGAAAUCCUCCUCGCAUAAUCCCUAUAUGGAAUAAGGCCAGGCUGAUUCAUUUCCCAUUCACCCUUAAUCUGAUUAACAACGAGGGCCGAAUCACCGUAAACAUCGAGAUACUUGAUCCUAAGAUCAAUGCAUUCUUCCAAUCCCAUAAUACAUGCCUCAUAUUCAGCCAUAUUGUUCGUGCAUUUGAAAGUUAGGCUUGCUGUAAAAGGGAAAUGUGUGCCCUGAGGAGUAAUAAUCACUGCCCCAAUACCAUUUCCAUAUUGAUUUACAGCGCCAUCAAACACCAUACUCCAUCUGGAACCAGGUUCUGGCCCUUCAUCAAGUGUAGGUUCAUCACAAACUUUCAUUUUCAAAUACAGAAUCUCCUCAUCUGGGAAGUCAUACUGAACUGACUGAUAAUCCUCGAUUGGUUGAUGUGCCAAGUGGUCAGCCAAGAUACUAUCUUUAAUAGCCUUCUGAGCUCGAUAAUCAAUGUCAUACUCGGAUAACAACAUCUGCCAACGGGCAAUCCUCCCAGUUAAAGCAGGCUUCUCAAAGAUAUACCUGAUCGGAUCCAUUUUGGAUAUCAGCCAAGUCGUGUGAUUCAACAUAUACUGGCGUAAGCGCUUAGCAGCCCAAGCCAAAGCACAACAUGUCUUCUCAAGCAUUGAGUAUCGAGACUCACAAUCAGUAAACUUCUUACUCAAGUAGUAAAUAACAUACUCUUUCUUUCCUGAUUCGUCCUGCUGACCAAGGGCACAACCCAUUGAGUCUUCAAGAACGGUCAGAUACAUAAUUAAUGGUCUCCCUUCCACAGGCGGAGACAGAAUCAGAGGUUCAGACAAAUAUUCUUUAAUACUGUCAAAAGCCUUCUGGCAAUCCUCGGUCCAAUCAUGAGACUGAUCUUUCCAGAGUAGCUUGAAUAUCGGCGCACAUGUGGCAGUCAUGUGGGAUAUGAAUCUGGAAAUGUAAUUCAAACGGCCAAGAAAAUCUCGGACUUGCUUUUCAGUUUUGGGCGCAGGCAUCUCUUGUAUUGCUUUGACCUUUGCAGGGUCAACCUCAAUACCUUUUUCACUAACAACGAAGCCCAAUAACUUGCCGGAACGGACUCCAAAUUUACACUUGUUGGGAUUCAGACGAAGCUUGUACUUCCUCAAACGUUGAUAAAGCUUUAACAGGUGCUCGACAUGUUCAACUUCCGUUCUUGACUUCGCAAUCAUAUCAUCGACAUAUACCUCGAUCUCCUUGUGCAUCAUAUCAUGAAACAAGGUAGUCAUAGCUCGUUGAUACGUGGCUCCGGCGUUCUUCAAACCGAAAGGGAUCACUCAAUAACAGAAUGUUCCCCAAGGUGUGAUGAAUGUUGUCUUCUCCAUAUCCUCGGGUGCCAUCUUAAUUUGAUUAUAUCCAUAAAAUCCGUCCAUAAAUGAGAAGACCUUGAAUUUAGAUGUAUUGUCUACCAACAUAUCAAUAUGUGGUAGAGGGAAAUCAUCUUUCAGAUUAGCUUUAUUCAAGUCUCUAUAGUCCACACACAUCCGGACUUUUCCAUCUUUCUUAGGCACGGGCACAAUAUUGGCCACCCAUUGAGGAUAUGUAGAAGUCACCAGAAACCCCGCAUCAAUUUGCUUCUGAACUUCUUCUUUUGAUUUUACUGCCAUAUCAGGAUGAGUUCUUCUGAGCUUCUGCUUCACAGGCACGCAUUCAGGCUUCAAAGGCAGAAUGCUGCACGAUAUUAGUAUCUAGACCAGGCAUGUCUUCAUAUGACUAGGAAAAGACGUCGACAUAUUCUCGUAGCAACUCAAUCAACCCCUUCUUAACAGACUCUUCCAAGAGUGCCCCAAUCUUUACUUCUCGCACACAAUCCUCAGACCCCAAGUUACUGAUCUUCUCUUCAUGCUCAAUAGACGGGUAAUCUCGUCAGGAAUCUCUUCAACAUCAUCUUCUUCCGCCUCAAAUAUAGGGAAUUCAAAGUUGGGAGAUGGUGUUGGAUCAUUAUGUUCAAUGGGUUUGAUCAACCUGCAUAAUAAUUUUGGAUAUAAAGAAUUUUUAGAAUUCAAACAAGGCAAAUCAUUAUGCAGAUGAAAAGAUUGAUUUUAUUUUGUUUUUAGGGUUUUAUGUGAUCACCAAUUUCAUGCAAAAGCAAAAAGGGAAAAUAAUUGGAAAAACAAACGUUUAACAUGAAUUUAUUGAAUGAAAGUCUCAUUGUAUUUAUGCGCCAACAAUAUCAUCACUUCUCCUUUUGGCAUGAGAGAAGGGUUUUUAAACACAAUGAACAUUACUUUGACUUAUGGAUAACUGUUGGAAUAUCCACAACGACCCAAUUAUUGCAGAUUCCUCCAGGGAUGACGAAAUUUCCAGAAUCCUCUUUGUCCUCUUCCAAAAUUGCAGCAGCCUCUUCGUCUUGACCAUUAUGGAUGAAUCCUCCACUCUUGAACAAACCUUGCUUGUUGAAGACCCCAGAAGAAUAGCCUAUGCCAGCCCGGGACUUGUUGUCUUCCAACUUGAUCAUUUGCCCCAAUCCAGCAGUUGCACCAUGCUCAAUGGCCAACUUUGCAUCUUUAUGGAAGCAAAUGAAGGAGUUCUCUUCUCAACAGGUUCAGCAAUAGAUAAAGCUUGGAACGGUGUUCCAACUUGAUCCUCGGCAUCUAUAUAAGAGAAGGAAGACAAAUGGCUAACCAGGAGAUCCUUUUCUCCCCCUACCACCACCAUCUUCUUAUUCUUUACAAAUUUUAGUUUCUGGUGUAGGGUGGAUGUCACGGCGCCAGCCUCGUGAAUCCAUGGUCUGCCUAGGAGACAGCUAUACGAUGGCACUUACAGGUAUUGGACCUUCCAUUAGACCUUUAGUGAACGUCCGAUUUUGACUGGGAGAUCAACCUCACCAAUCACAGUUUUGCGAGACCCAUCGAAAGCCUUCACAACUACUCCAUUCUGCCUCAUGGGAGGCCCCUGAUACGAUAACUUCGCGAGAGUGGUCUUCGGUAAUACAUUCAAUGAUGACCCAGUGUCCACCAACACAUUGGACAUGGCAUCAUCCUUGCAGCUCAUAGAUAUAUGUAAUGCCAAGUUGUGGUCUCUUCCCUCCUCGGGAAGAUCAGCGUCGCAAAAACUCAGGUUGUUACAAGCGGUGAUGUUUGCAACAAUGCUGUCAAAUUGCUCUAUCGUGACAUCGUGAUCUACGUACGCCACAUCCAACACCUUCUGUAGAGCUUCUCGGUGUGGUUCUGAAUUUAAUAGCAAUGAUAACACAGAUAUUUUGGAUGGAGUUUGUAGAAGUUGGUUUACAACAUUGUACUCGCUCCUUUUGAUGAGCCUCAGCAUCUCAUCACAGUCUUCUUUCGUAUUGCCACUCGGGCCAGCAGAAGCAGGAGUUUUCAAUGUAGAGGAGGGCUUAGCAACAAGUGUCGGAUUCGGAGUGCUCACAGCAUUCCCAAUCGGGCGUUCAACAAAAUCAGCAUCAACACUUCCUCGAGCAUCAGCUUGAGGCUUCAACGGAGCCGAAAAUACACGACCGUUACGGGUCAGCCCGCUGACGUCAGCAAUAUUAACGACAGAUGAAGAGGGUAGGGGCACCUCUUUCCCAUUUUCCACUACUACAACAUUGUAGCAAUAAGGGACUGCUUUCUCGGAGGACUACGGUACAGGUCCGGCUGGCUUGAUGACGAGAGUAGGAGAAGCCUUCUUCUUGCUGCCAUCGUACUUGAUGACAACAAGCUCAGGUAUCCGGAAUACCGAAGAAAUUACGUUAACUUCGAGAGCAUCUUCGUCAACAUUUCUGUUCUGAAGGAUCUCAAUAACUCCCUCAUCUAACAUUUCUUGCACAUCUCUGCGCACCUGGCGACACCCUCUCUGAUUAACAGAACAGACUCGACAUCUAUCAUGGUCAUGCUCAUAAUGGCUAUAGUCACACAGCAAGCGAUGCAUCUCAACCAGCGAUUGUCGGAUAUGGCUGACAUAUUUAACUUUGUACUUGCCAAGACAGCCCUGGACCAUUAUAACAGAUUUCCCAUGCUCGGGCAAUGGGUUCUUCUUCAUGUUUGGACCUACAUCCUCGAAAAACAAAAUCCCACUUCUCACAAGGUCUUGCACCUUGGUCUUCAGGGGAUAACAAUUCUCCACGUCAUGUCCGGGAGCACCGGAAUGAUACACACAAUGAAGCUCAGGCUUGUACCACCACUUGCACCUUGGUCUUCAGGGGAUAACAAUUCUCCACGUCAUGUCCGGGAGCACCGGAAUGAUACACACAAUGAAGCUCAGGCUUGUACCACCACUGGGGGUUAGCAGGUACAGCGGGAGGGUCUCGUGGAGUGAUCAACUUUCUAUCGAUCAGAGAUGGAUAGAGUUCAGCAUAAGUCAUCGGAAUUGGAUCGAAGGUGACCCUCUUUCUCUCAUAGCUGGUGUUGGAAUUGUUGUUGUUGUUUCGAGGCUGGUAGGCCUGCUGUUGCGGACACUAUUGUUGUUGUUGAUAUUGUUGAGUUUGUGGUUGCUGAUAAUGUUGAGCUUCCCUGAAAACAGGUGCUAUAUGAGCCACCUGAUGCUGGUUGUUAACUGGGCGGGCAAUCUUCCUCUUCACAGAGGGUCUUCUCUUUACAUGGGAAGACACAGCAUGUGCCUCUCUGAAAUUCUAGUUAUCAGACUUUGGAUGUCACACUGGUUGUUAUGACAUCCAAUUCUGCACAGACAGGGAUUAUGCAGAACUUAACAGUAAGUGCAGUAAAUAACACAAGUAAUUGUUCACCCAGUUCAGUCCAACAUGACCUACAUCUGGGGGCUACCAAGCCAGGGAGGAAAUCCACUAUUAGCAGGUAUCAAUUCAAAGCUAAACUCACCCGUUUACAACUUAUCACUUAAUCCCUACCCAAUGCAAUUUCAAUCUUAACCUAAGAUCAGAGUUCCUACUCACUCCCCCCUCAAUCACCUCAGUGAUUACUACUUUAAACAAUAUUUAAAGACAAGUUGAAGUCACACUUCAAACAACUCUUGAUUGUGCUUCACAGCUUUAAUCAAGAUACACAGCACUCAUGCUUAAAAGCUUUGAGUGACACAACACUUACAACUCAAUGAACACCCUAUGCAAAGCUAUCAUCUACUUGAUAAUGACUUGGCUUACAAGAUACGUCUAAUACAAGACUCACAAAAAUACAGCAGUGAAGUAUGAUGGACCACACAAAUCUUCACGCCUCAAAAUCCCUGAAACUGAAUGAAGGAACGCCUUCCUUUUAUAUUGCAGUACCCUGGCUUUGCACCUGUAUUCUCCUGAAUUUAAGGUCACGCGAGUUCCCAUAAAUUCAACAUUUAGGUUACUAACAAAUAGGCUAUUUGUUAGGUUCAUUGAAUGUAGCUUGGUUGUUGAUUUCCUGGUUUUUCUCUAAGCUGUUGACUUCCUGAAGAAUAGCCUGAGAAAAGCUGAAACAGAAAACUGAACAACCUACAAUAUAGCAUAUGCUGUCAGGCAUGAAUGUCACGACAUUCAGCUUGACAUCAAGGUCCAUAUGCUGAGUCUGUUUUUUCAGAAAACAGACCGUACAAUUUUGCUGACCUGUACAUGAUCAAAAUGACCAUACUACAGUGACAGCUUACAUUAAUAAAUGUCAAAGUGGUCCAACUAACAUUUACACAAUUGGCCUUAAGUUAGUUCUGUUAUUCUUUUUGAAGAACAAACUAAGUUACAUGCUGAAGUAUAGCAGAACACCACUCUGUCUAAUCUUCAGCAGUGCUGUCAAUGAUGAAUGUCAUAACAUCCAUUUGACAUUCAGUCAAUAGGCCUUAUGCCAGGUUGGUUUUCCUUGAUAACCAGACUGGAAUAAAUACUAAGUUCUGACAGAACACCUGCUGUUCUAUUCCUUAGUAUCUAUUGACAGGUAUGAAUGUCCACACAUCCAGUUUGACAUUCAAUAAAUCCUGUGUUAGCUAGUCCUGCAGUAACUACAAUGUAGUCACACAUACAUGUCAUGACAUCAGUCGACAUUAGUAACCAUCAGUGUUACCAUAUAUGCAGCCAAUUAAACACCUACAAACUCCCCUUUGGCAAAUUUUGGCUAAAACCUUUGAUCCCCAUAACAAAGUUUUAUAGCAGCGGAAUCACACACCUAGCAGGAAAUAUAUACUAGCUAAUACACUCAGAGUGGCAGCACACUCACACACAUACAGAAGUUAAAUAAAACCUCACACACAAUUGCUGCAGGGAGAAUCUGUCGUCCGAGAGUCUGUUGUAGAGACCAUGAGUGUCUGUUGUAGAGACACCACUCUGUUUGUUCAGGGGUUACUCCCCUUUUUGUCAAAAUGUUGCCAAGCCAACAACAUAACCAGAGAAUAACGACAGAGUUACAGGACUUGGUUUUACUUCCCAGUUUAACAAGUUACCAUCCACUUGAUCUUGCUUCACAGCUUUGAUCAAGUAAUCACCCACUUUUGCUUUAUAGUAGGUACCACCAUAUCAGAUGCCAUGAAGUUGUUUCUGACAUCCAGAACCACUCCUGCAUGAAAGCAUCCUUGAACUCCUGCAGAUCAUUGUCACCUCAUGCUCACUAGGGUGGUCUCUCUUACCCUCUUGUAUCCACCCUUGUUGCAAGUAGCAUAGCUAUGAUCUGGUGACCAAUCAUAGCCUAGUACAAAUUGUUUAAUAGGCAGAGAUAUUAAACAAUUUAUCCCAAACAUCAGUGGUUGCUAUAAGGUCUCAGAGAGACAUAAUUCCCAGUUUUCUCCUUAAGUUUUCAAACUGAGUAGCAUCCAGAGCCUUUGUAAAUAUGUCAGCCAAAUGAAGAUCCGUGGCUACAUGUUCCAAAGUGAUCACCUUGUCUUCCACCAGAAUCUCUGAUGAAGUGGUGCUAAUGUCAAUAUGUUUGGUCCUGCUGUGUUGGAUGGGAUUCUUGGAGAUAUUGAUGGCACUGAGAUUAUCACAGAACAAUGUCAUGACAUUUGAGUGACAUUGUACUCAGUGAGCAUCUGUUUCAUCCAAACCAGUUGGAACAACUGCUUCCAGCUUGCUAUGUAUUCAGCCUCUAUAGUGGACAGAGAGACACAGUUCUGCUUCUUGCUGAACCAAGAUAUGAGGUUGUCUCCUAAGAGAAAGCAUCCACCUGAUGUGGCUUUUUCUUGUCAUCAGCACUCCCAGCCCAGUCUGCAUCACAAUACCAGCUAGGACAGGCUCAGACCCAUGUGAGUACAGCAUCCCAUAGUCACAUGUCCCAUUGAUGUACUUGAGAAUCCGUUUGACUUGAUUCAAGUGGCUCACCUUAGGCUCUGCUUGAUAUCUGGCACACACUCCAACUGCAUAAGAAAUGUCAGGUUUACUUGCAGUUAGGUACAACAGACUACCUAUCAUGCUUCUAUACAGCAUUGAUCAACACUAGGCCCUCCAUCAUCUUUGGUCAACUCAGAUGAGUGGGAGCAGGAGUCCUCUUGUGUCCUAGCAUUAUCCAUACCCAACUUCUUAACUUGUUCUUGGCAUACUUGCUUUGGCGAGAGAAACAUAGAGGUCCUCCAUUUGGUUAACUUGCAUUCAAGGAAAUAGGUCAGUUCUCCCACUAGACUCAUUUCAACUCAGACUGCAUCUGGUGAACAAAUUUUUUGUACCAUUUGUUCUGACAUUCACCAAAGACUUAUAUCAUCAACAUAGAUUUGAGCUAUCAUGAUUUUGCCUUCUUCAUCCUUCACAACAGGGUUUUAUCUAUGCCACCCUUUCUGUAUCCAUUUGAGGUCAGAAAUUCGGUUAACCUUUGCAUUACCAUGCUUCUAGGUGCUUGUUUCACCCAUACAAGGCUUUCCUCAACUUGUAUACGUGCUCAGGUUGGUUAGGAUCACAGGAACCCUUUAGGGUUUGUUCCACAUAGACUUCCUCAUUCAGGUAGCCAUUCAAGAAUGCACUCUUCACAUCCAUUUGGAAUAGCUUUAACUUCAGGAUGCAUGCUACCCCCAACAGCAAUCUGAUGGACUCAAGGGCUAGCCACAAGAGCAAAUGUUCUCAUCAAAAUCUACCCCUUCACAUUGAGUGUUAUCCUUGAGCUACUAGUCUUGCUUUUAUUCCUAGUAAUUACUCCUUUCUCAUCAGAUUUGUUUUGUAGAUCACUUGGUACCAAUUGAUGUUGUUCCCUUCAGGUUCUUGGAACUAGCUCCCAGACUUCAUUCCUUUUGAACUGCUCAAGUUCUCUUUGCAUGGCAGUGAUCCAGUAUUCAUCAGUCAGGGCUUCCUUCACAUUCUUUGGUUCAACCUUGGAUACAAAGCAGGAAUUUGAGUUUAUUCCUCUUGACCUGGUAGUUACACCACUGGUGGAUCCCCUAUGAUAAGAUCCUUAGGGUGGUCUUUCUGAAUUCUGAUAGAUGGCACUUUUGGUGGUUGCAUCUACUUCACAUUCAGGAGGAGGUUCCUGUACUUCUUUCAGACUUGACGGACUGUUAGUUGAACUGUCAAGGAAUGUUUCAACAUCCUCCAUGACAUCGCGUUCCUUCCUCUUUAUCGUCCACAAUGACAUUUAUGGAUUCCAUCAGGACAUUGGUCCUGUAGUUGAACACUCGUGUAGGUCUUGUUAUUCGUGGAGUAUCCCAAAAUAUACCUUCAUCACUUUUGGGAUCUAGCUUCCUUCUCUGUUCACGAUCUGUGAGAAUGUAGCAUUUUACUUCCAAAGAUAUGAAAGUACUUCACAGUAGGUUUUCUUCCUUUCCAUAUUCAUAUAGAGUGGAGGAGGUUCCUUUUCUCAAGGUGACUCUGUUGUGAACAUAGCAUGCGGUGUUCAUUGCUUCAGCCAGAAGUGCAUGGGAGCUUCUUUGCAUGAAUCAUUGCUCUGGCAGAUUCUUGAAUAGUUCUAUUUUUUCUUUCAACUAUUCCAUUCUGCUGAGGAGUUAUAGGUGGGGAAACUCCUGACUUAUUCCUUCAGACGAGCAAAACUCAUCAAACUUGGAAUUCUUGAACUCCGUACCAUGAUCAUUCUAAUCCGGACCACACAACUGUCCUUUUCCCUUUGAAGUCUUAUGCACAGGUCUUUGAAGACAUUCAAAUGUAUCUGACUUCUCUCUGAUGAAGCUUAUCCACGUGUAUCUGGAAUGGUUCAUCCACCACCACGUAUGCUAUUUCCCACCAAGACUUUCAACUGCAUAGGUCCCAUUAGGUCCAUGUGCAACAGUUCCAGAACUCUGGAGGUUGUGGGAUGUCCCAGCUUCGGAUGUGACAUCUUGCGUUUGCUUCCCACCUGGCAUUCUCCACAGACUCUUCCUUCAUCAAUCAGGAGCUUUGGAACUUCCUCUGACAGCUUCCUUGAUAUUAUCUUCUUCAUUCCCCGUAAGUGGAGAUGUCCAAGACGUUCUUGCACAAACUUCACAUCCUGUUCUUCCUUGGCUGAGGAGCAAUGUUGUGGAAAAGUUUGAGACUUCAGGUUCCACAAGGUCAGUUAUCUUUGGACCUGGUUCCUCUCUUAACUUCAUGAUUGGUCACCAUUUGUUCACAAUGCAUAGCUCCUUAGUAAACUGAACAUGAAAACCCUUGAUCACACAGCUGACUUAUGCUGAUGAGGUUUGCAGUUAGUCCUCUUACUAACAGCACAUUAUUCAGUUUUGGCACUCCAGAACAGUCCAGUUUGCCACACUUUUAUUUUCCUUUGGCCACCAUCACCAAAGGUCACAUAGCUGGUAGUUGUGAGGUUGAAUAUCUACCAGUAGAUUUUCCAUACCAGUCAUGUGUCUUGAGCAUCCACUGUCAAAGUACCAGUCUUCUCUGGUAAGAAGCCCUUAGAGCAGUGUGUGCUAUCCUAGCAUACCAUUUGUGCUUCUUAAUGGGACAUAGCGCUUAUGUGUUUUAUGCUUAGGCUUAACAUGCAAGGCUUGUAGGGAAACCAUGAAUCCAGUUGCAGAAGGCUUUUAUAAUGACCAAGCCUCCACCAGUGGUGACACCUCCACUCCUGUGGUAUUUCCUCUUCUGAUGAUCAUUCAUCCUAGUUUCUCGAUGUUGAGACGUUGGCUUUGACUUCCGCUUGAACUUCUGAACUUUGGCCUUUGGGCGUUUUGUGUUCAUUGAGGAUCUUUCCCAAAUCAGAAGGUCAGAUUUGGUUUCAGACUGCUGUCCCACCUUUAGAAUCUCCUCCAAGGUGUCAGUUCCCUUAUUCAUCAUUCUGAAUGGAUUUAGUCAUCUGAUUCAGCUUGGAGGUCAGCAGUGUUAUCUCACCAUUAGACCCUCUAUGACAGACAGUUGCAUUUCUCUCAUCUUCCAGUUCCUUGAUGAGUUUCUUUUGCUUUUUCCUUGUGCACGGCACUUCUGCACUGGUGGACACAGCUUCUUAUGGCUGCAUCAAGUUCAUCAAAGGUCAGUUCAUCUGCACGAGUCAAUCUUCCAGAGCACAAACAACUGGUUUAAGUGCUAGUGACAUGUUGGCAGAUUUCACCUUCAGAUUCACUUUCAGAGUCCCUUCAGACCAAUGUGAUAGGCUAAACCCUUAAUUGCAAUUUGAGGUAAGUAGGGCAUUCCAGCUUCUGACGUGUCCAUACCCUUCACGAACCCAAUGACACACUGGAUUCCCUUGCCGUGAUUGAACUUUCAAUGCAGAAUUGAUCCAUUCCUUUCUUAUGUCAGACGGAAGCACAUGUCUACUUCUGAUCACUUGACAAUAUACGAAGGGUCAGAUCCGAACUGUUCACAUGAAUCAGGUUUGUUAUGAAACAAUUUAAAGAGUUAAAAAAAACUCACCUUUAUCUAAGCUUGCUUCGAUCACUUCAUACCAGUAUCCUGCUUCUGACUCCUCUUUAGCAUUAGAUACAAAAGCUAGCCUUUUGUUCUUCUUUCAGCAUACUCACCAAUCCAUUUCAAGGUUUGGAGGAACCAUGGAGUUCAUCUACCUUCACUGUUGCAGAUGUCCUGCGCCCUCCUCUAUGGCUGUGACCUGUCAUAGCAAUCUCCUUAGGCAAGGACCUGAGAUCUUCUUACAAGUUUUCCUUCAGCCAUUUUUCACCUGUCCACCAGAGGUGUUGCAAUUCAAGAAUAUUCAUGUGAAAGUUCAUGAAUAGUCUUCAUCCUCUUUCAUUCCUCAGAUUUUCAAAAACUUGGUGUCAGCAUCUGCGAAGUUUGGACAUUUCCUUCAACCUUGGAAGUACCUUCAUAUGAGUUACCUGAGAGUAUCCCAAACUUCCUUAGCUAGUUUCACAGUGGUGUACCAGCCUGAAGAUGUUCUUUGCUGAUUCCAUGUGAACAAUGCAUUCAAAGGCCUGGAAUUGCCAAGAGCUAAUGCCGUCUUGCUCCUUGUCCACUCUUCUUCAGGAAUCUGCACACUGACUCCAUUUCUUCACCUGUUCCUCAUUGGAUGUUCCCAUCCUUUGUUGACAGCUCUCCAGACUUUGCUGUCUAAGAACCUUAAGAAGGCUAUCAUUACGAGGCUUCCAGUCAUCAUAAUUAGAGCCAUCCAACAUGGGUGGUCUGUUUGAGUAUCCUAAAUCCUUGUCCAUGGUACUAGAAAGUAACUUCCCUAGAUCUCACCCAGAAAUUCAAGGCAGGGUGCCUGCUCUGAUGCCAAUUGAAUUCUAGUAUCAAGACUUUGGAUGUUCACACUGGUUGUUAGACAUCCAAUUCUGCACAGACAGGGAUUAUGCAGAACUUAACAGUAAGUGCCAGUAAAUAACACAAGUAAUUGUUCACCCAGUUCAGUCCAACAUGACCUACAUCUGGGGGCUACCAAGCCGGGAGGAAACCACUAUUAGUAGUAUCAAUUCAAAGCUAAACUCACCCGUUUACAACUUAUCACUUAAAUCCCUACCCAAUGCAAUUUCAAUCUUAAACCUAAGAUCAGAGUUCCUACUCACUCCCCCUCAAUCACCUCAGUGUUACUAUCUUUAACAAUAUUAAAGACAAGUUGAAGUCACACUUCAAACAACUCUUGAUUGUGUUCACAGCUUUAUCAAGAUACACAGCACUCACGCUUAAAGCUUUUGAGUGACCACAACACUUACAACUCAAUGAACACCCUAUGCCAAAAGCUAUCAUCUACUUGAUAAUGACUUGGCUUUACAAAAUACGUCUAAUACAAGACUCACAAAAAUACAGCAGUGAAAGUAUGAUGGACCCACAAAUUCUUCACGCCUCAAAAUCCCUGAAACUGAAAUGAAGGAACGCCUUCCUUUUUUAUAUUGCAGUACCCUGGGCUUUUGCAUCUGUAUUCUCCUGAUUUAAGGUCACGCGAGUUGCCAUAAAUUCAACAUUUAGGUUACUAACAAAAUAGGCUAUUUGUUAGGUUCAUUGAAUGUAGCUUGGUUGUUGAUUUCCUGGUUUUUUCUCUAAGCUGUUGACUUCCUGAAGAAUAGCCUGAGAAAAGACUGAAACAGAAAACUGAACAACCUACAAUAUAGCAUAUGCUGUCAGGCAUGAAUGUCACGAAUUCAGCUUGACAUCAAGGCCAUAUGCUGAGGUCUGUUUUUCCAGAAAACAGACUGUACAAUUUUGCUGACCUGUACAAUGAUCAAAAUGACCAUACUACAGUGACAGCUUACAUUAAUAAAUGUCCAAUAGUGUGCACUUAACAUUUACACAAUUGGCCUUAAGUUAGUUCUGUUAUUCUUUUGAAGAACAAACUAAGUUACAUGCUGAAGAUAUACAGAACACACCUCUGUCUAAUCUUCAGGCCAGCUGGCGUGUCAAUGAUGAAUGUCAUAAACAAUCCAGUUUGACAUUCAGUCAAGUAGGCCUUAAUGCCAGGUCUGGGUCUUCCUUGAUAAACCAGACUGGAAAUAAAUACUAAGUUCUUGACAGAACACCUGCUGUUCUAUUUCUUAGUAUCUAAUGACAGGUAUGAAUGUCACAACACUCAGUUUGACCAUUCAAUAAAUCCUGUGUUAGCUAGUCCUGCAGUAACUACAAUGUAGUCACACAUACAUGUCAUGACAUCAGUCAGGACAUUAGUAACCAUCUAGUGUUUUACCAUAUAAUGCAGCCAAUUAAACACCUACACUCUCCCUCCUUCUUCUUUGCAAAGCUUCCAUAUCUCUUUGCUGAAGAGCUUUCCUCUCGAGUUAAGCGUCCUUCACGGACCCCCUCUUCCAAUCUCAUUCCCAUAUUCACCAUCUCGGUGAAGUCUGAGGGAGCACUGACUAUUAUUCUCUCAUAAUAGAACGAGCUCAAGGUCUUCAAGAAGAUCUUGGUCAUCUAUUUCUCCUCAAGGGGAGGCACUAUCUGAGCUGCCAACUCGCGCCACCUCUGGGCGUAUUCUUUGAAGGUCUCUUUCUCUUUUUGGGACAUCGCCCUCAACUGGUCCCUAUCAGGAGCCAUAUCCACAUUGUAUUUAUAUUGCUUGACGAAGGCCUCGCCAAGGUCGUUGAAAGAGCGAAUGUUCGAACUUUCCAGACCCAUGUACCAACGGAGAGAGGCAUCGGACAUACUGUCCUGGAAAUAGUGGAUGAGGAGCUGGUCAUUAUCAGUUUGUGUCGACAUCUUGCGAGCAUACAUCACAAGAUGACUGAGAGGGCAUGUGUUUCCCUUAUACUUCUAAAAGUCAGGCACUUUGAAUUUAAUAGGGAUUUUCACGUUGGGCACAAGGCACAACUCAGCAGCACUUUUACCAAAGAGGUCCUUCCCCCUCAAAGUCUUCAGUUCCUUGCGAAGCUCAAGGAAUUGGUCUUUCAUGUCAUCCAUCUUUUCAUAAACUCUGGGCCCUCAGAUGGCUCAGAAUGAUAGAUGGUAUCUUCGACCCUUGGUAGUGUGUGCACGACGGGAGGUGACACUGGAAGGACCGGGCUAGAUGCCAGCAGAGAAGCAAGAGUUGGAGCAAAACCUUCUGGCACAAAGUUGGCGGGCAUUCCCCAAGGGAACCCGGCUGGCAUAGAUGGUGCAAAGUGAGUUGUUGCAGCAGGCACAGUAGAAGUUACGAUCUCAGAAAUGACCGUCCUCUGGGGAGGAGUUGAGGGUGUUAGAGAAGACUGGCUCUGGGCAGCUAAGAAUGACUCCAUCAGGGCAGUCAAUCUGGCUACUUCCUCCUUCAAUUCGCGGUUCUCUUGUUCCAAAUGAUCCAUCAGUCUUGCGGAGUUGGCUCUAGUGUAAUACCGAUGAGUCAGCUUGUCUUCAAAAUAAAUGAAGAAUACAGAGUUAGACCAUAGGACAAGAAGCUUGGAGCAAAACCUGCUUAUGCACAUGAUGCAUGCAAUGCUUGUGCAUAUGAUUUAUUUUUAUUUCAGAGGAACUUUAGAGUUCUAUUUGCAAAAAAAAAAGGGAAAUAUUACAUUUUCUAUCAUAUAUGGAAACAUCUCAUCAAUAAUAUCUGGAAAAUAUUUUUUUACACCAAAGAAGUACAACAUUGGUAACCAAACACAAGAGAAAAGGAAAAUAAUCAUCCUAUGGAUCCCUAGAAACAAUCAUCUAAAGCUCGGGACACAGGAAAAUAUGAUGCACAAAGCCUCUUAACCUCCUCCUCAUAGGUUGCCUCCAUAUCUGCCUUCUCCUUGGCGAGUCGAUCAUACUUCCUCUUCCAAAACCUAGAAGACUGAGGAAGUAGAGAAGUCCAUGCAUCAUCAGGAUCAUCAAUGACCUGAUGCUCAAGGAAUUCUAUCAAAGCAUCUUUCUCCUUGAUCUGCUGAAGCAACUCUUCUCGUUCACGGAUCCAAGCACGUGAACGGUCUUCAUCUCUCAACUCCUCUACUCCUUGAUCAGGGAGGGUUGAUGGCCCAGCCAUAACCAAAGGCGUAGGUCUUGGAUACUCGUAAGGCAUGAGGUACUCAGAAGCUCUCCUCCUAACCCAAGUAGUGUAAGGCUCCAAAGCGACAUAGUUCUUUGGACCUAACUCCUUCCUUCCUUUCCUAUGAAUCUUGCGCCAAGCGCGGACCAUCCUGCCCUUCAAGCCUUGGGGAUCUUUACCCUCCUGAAAGAACAUACCCUCCAACAGAAUGUUAUUGGGUUUAUCCUUUAGGGGGAACCCAAGCUGACGACGUGCCAAAAUGGGGUUGUAACUAAUCCCACCACAUGUACCAAGAAGAGGUACAUUGGAGAAUUCACCAUAAGAGUCGAUAAUCUGCACACCAUCAUACACACGGUUGUACCAAGAGAUAUCAUCAUUGGUGAGAGACAUUAGUCUCGUGGACCACCGUAGACAUCCUUUGUUAUCCUUGAAGGCGACCGUCUGCGGUAAGUGAGAAAUAAACCACUUAUACAACAGAGGCAAACAGCACACAAUGGCACCACCACCAUUUGCAUUCCUCAUAUGCAAAGAAAAAUAAGUGUCACCCAACAGAGUCGGAACGGGAUUAAGAGUAGAGAAAAUCCUAAUAGCGUUCACAUCCACAAACUUGUCGAUGUUGGGGAAUAACACUAACCAUCAUAUGCAAAGAAAAAUAAGUGUCACCCAACAGAGUCGGAACGGGAUUAAGAGUAGAGAAAAUCCUAAUAGCGUUCACAUCCACAAACUUGUCGAUGUUGGGGAAUAACACUAACCCAUAGAUGAGCAGUACAAAUAUGGCCUCAAAGGCGUCCUCACUCAUGGCCUUCCCAUACAUAGUAGCUUCAGCAAUGAGGAACUCAGAAGGGAGACCUUGAAUUCCACCUUUGGUAGUCAUAUGAGCACCAAUCAGAGAUUCAUCUAUAUGCAACAUAUCAACUAUCUCUUGAGAAGUAGGAAUACUCUCCAAGCCACUGAACGACAACUGGUCUAGAAUAGGUAUACCCACAAGGUAGGCAUACUCCUCAAGCGUAGGCAAAAGCUGAAAAUCUGAAAACGUGAAGCAGCGAUACGAAGGAUCAUAAAACUGCACCAAUACACUCAUCAACCCUUCAUCCACUUGAGUAGUCAGAAGAGGAAGAAGCUUCCCAAAACGAGCUUUAAAACCCAAAGGAUCAAUACAUAGGAUGUCAAAUUCCUUAGCUCUUUCAAGUCUGGUUGUCUGAAAUUGUACUUCUUUGUAUUCCUUCUUUGUCUUUCCAUGUCUGAAAAUUUGCAAAUAGACCUCUUAAGUUCCUUGAAAAUUUUCUUAUUAUUUUGAUGAUAUGGAUGCAGAUGGGUGCAUAAAUCAACAACCACACUUAAGGAUCAAACAGAGCACACCAAGCAAAGGUCAUGGGAUGGGUCAUGGCAUCCUUAAUAUCAAUCAUCCAUUUUUGUGGAUUAUGGCUUACACCUUAUCAACACCCAAGUUCCAUUGAUAUUAAGGAUACAUGAACGGAUCAACCACGAAUCAAGGGUUUGUUGCAAGUCACGAGCAUGGAGUCUCGGUUUAGAACCACCCAAAGGGAGUGUACAGAGAGAGAUCAUGAUGAAGAGAUGAGAAAAGACUAUACAAGUUUAUUUUUUUAAAUUUUUUUGUGUAGGAUGGAUAAACCAUUGCUACGUACCAUCUUUAAAAAAAGAUUAGGAUCAAAACCUCGUAGUAGUCAGCGGUAAAAAUCUCCAAGAGUUGGUGAAUUGAUUGGUCCAAAAGCUUAAGGUCUUUUGUUAUCCAAGGAGUAAAACUCAACCUAAAACCACAAAUCCACCAUGUGAGGAUAGCUUCACAUGCUAGUGAGGGUGUAACCUGAUAAUAAGCAUGGAAGACUCAUUGUCAUCAUUAAGGAUAUAAGUGAGCAUUUAUACUACCUCAGGAUAACUCAAACCUAACAGCUAAAGGUUACUGAAAAUUUGAUUAAGAAAGUGCCAUGAACACAAAAAGAUUUAGAUGGGUUAUAUUUACCAAUGAAAGUUAUUUACAAACUAUGGUCAAAUGGAUUAAAGAGUCAAUUCAAAAGCUUUAUGAAAAGAAAGUUUUGAAAAUCAAAAGGCAUAAGGCUGUAGGUUUCUAAUGUUGAAAACAAGUGUAGAUGUUGCACAAAGUUUUGGCUUGGGUUAGAGGUGAGAGAAGAAGAAGAAUGGCUAAAAGUCUUAAAACAUACAAGAGGAAGGGACAAGAGAAAACCAAAUGGAGUCUCUCUUUGAGAUCAAUAUUGAUGAUGCCAGUAGCUCCNNNNNNNNNNNNNNNNNNNNNNNNNNNNNNNNNNNNNNNNNNNNNNNNNNNNNNNNNNNNNNNNNNNNNNNNNNNNNNNNNNNNNNNNNNNNNNNNNNNNNNNNNNNNNNNNNNNNNNNNNNNNNNNNNNNNNNNNNNNNNNNNNNNNNNNNNNNNNNNNNNNNNNNNNNNNNNNNNNNNNNNNNNNNNNNNNNNNNNNNNNNNNNNNNNNNNNNNNNNNNNNNNNNNNNNNNNNNNNNNNNNNNNNNNNNNNNNNNNNNNNNNNNNNNNNNNNNNNNNNNNNNNNNNNNNNNNNNNNNNNNNNNNNNNNNNNNNNNNNNNNNNNNNNNNNNNNNNNNNNNNNNNNNNNNNNNNNNNNNNNNNNNNNNNNNNNNNNNNNNNNNNNNNNNNNNNNNNNNNNNNNNNNNNNNNNNNNNNNNNNNNNNNNNNNNNNNNNNNNNNNNNNNNNNNNNNNNNNNNNNNNNNNNNNNNNNNNNNNNNNNNNNNNNNNNNNNNNNNNNNNNNNNNNNNNNNNNNNNNNNNNNNNNNNNNNNNNNNNNNNNNNNNNNNNNNNNNNNNNNNNNNNNNNNNNNNNNNNNNNNNNNNNNNNNNNNNNNNNNNNNNNNNNNNNNNNNNNNNNNNNNNNNNNNNNNNNNNNNNNNNNNNNNNNNNNNNNNNNNNNNNNNNNNNNNNNNNNNNNNNNNNNNNNNNNNNNNNNNNNNNNNNNNNNNNNNNNNNNNNNNNNNNNNNNNNNNNNNNNNNNNNNNNNNNNNNNNNNNNNNNNNNNNNNNNNNNNNNNNNNNNNNNNNNNNNNNNNNNNNNNNNNNNNNNNNNNNNNNNNNNNNNNNNNNNNNNNNNNNNNNNNNNNNNNNNNNNNNNNNNNNNNNNNNNNNNNNNNNNNNNNNNNNNNNNNNNNNNNNNNNNNNNNNNNNNNNNNNNNNNNNNNNNNNNNNNNNNNNNNNNNNNNNNNNNNNNNNNNNNNNNNNNNNNNNNNNNNNNNNNNNNNNNNNNNNNNNNNUUAAAAAAGAUUAGGAUCAAAACCUCGUAGUUCGGGGUAAAAAUCUCAAAAUGAGUUGGUGAAUUGAUUGGUCCAAAAGCCUUAAGGUCUUUUGUUAUCCAAGGGAGAAAACUCAACCUAAAACCACAAAUCCACCAUGUGAGGAUAGCUUCAACAUGCUAGUGAGGGGUUAACCCUAUAAUAAGCAUGGAAGACUCAUUGUCCAUCACUAAGGAUAUAAGUGAGCAUUAUAUCUACCUCAAGGAUAACUCAAACCUAACAGCUAAAGGUUAUGAAAAAAUUUGAUUAAGAAAGUGGCCAUUGAAACCACAAAAAAGAUAUUUAGAUGGGUUAUAUUUACCAAUGAAAAGUAUUUACAAAAUAUGGUCAAAGUGGAUUAAAGAUUCAAUUCAAAAUAAGCUUUAUGAAAAGAAAGUUUGAAAAUCAAAAGCAUAAGGCUUAGGUUUCUAAUGUUGAAAACAAGUGUUAGAUGUUUGCACAAAAGUUUUGGCUUGGGUUAGAGUGGAGAGAAGAAGAAGAAUGGCUAAAGUCCUAAACAUACAAGAGGUAAGGGACAAGAAGCAAAACCACAAAUGGAGUUCCUCUCUUGAGAUCAUAUUGAUGAUCCAAGUAGCUCCCAUCCUUUGGAAUAAGCAAUCACAUAAGCAUAAACUCAAGCAAUCAAUCAAUCAAAUGAACUCUUGGAAAGUUCCUCAAGGUAUCUUGGAUCCCUUUCUCUUAGAAGCUCAUGGUAAUGGUUCCUCAAUUUGGAUCAAGUUGGGAUCCCUAGCACAAGAACACACAUAUUAAAAGGUUCUAGCAAACAAAAAAGGAAUGGACAAGAAGAGUUUAGAAGUUGGUCCUUUCAAAGUCAUCUUCAACAUUGAGCAUUCUAAAGGCCUAAUGCCUAGUUGCUCUUUGACUUUUAUAGCACUCUAGUUUCUCUUUGACUCCAAAUUUGCAUAGGGAAGGUCCUAAAGUCUAAGUCCAUUUUGUCCAAUUCUUUGCAUUUGGUCAAUAACAAUCAAACAAAACACAAGCACAAAAGUAUAUACACAAUCACAUGCUCAAGUGAGCAAAAGGCAAAUUGCAUUAACAUAAACAUGUGCUCCAAUGAGCAAAGGAAAAAGCAAAUGACUAAUGUGUACAAGAAUAACAAAUUGCAUAAAUGUAAAGUGCAAAAAGUAAAUGUUAAUGGUUAAUAGUUAGUAGUUAGUGUGCCAUAAGGAAAAUUUAGCGCUAUGUUAAGCAAUCGUAAUUGGACUUAUGUAGAAGUCACAACCAUCUGAGGCCGGUCAAUAAUAAUGUAGGCAACAACACAAGUUAGAAGUCUUGAUAGUGACCAAGUCCAACAACUUGCCAUGCCAAAAGAAGAAGAGAACGAUGCUGUAUUGGUUUAAGUCCUUUGCAUGAUUUAGGAAGCAAUCUAUCCUUAAUGCAAAGUCAUUUCACAAUUGAUCAUUUGAUCAAGAUGAAUUAAUUGAAUCAAGAAGAUUAAACCUCCUAUCAAUGCUAACUUACUCAAACCUUUAACUCAUUGAUCAAAAAGAAAAGAAGAAGGAGAAGGAUGAAGAUGGAAUGGAAAUGAAAAAGAAAUAAGUACAUUAAAUGAAAUGAAUGUACCAAUCAACAAGGUUGACCAAUGACAUUGACGGAUCAUUGGUCAAACAAUCAAAACAGAAGUGAGAUGAAGAUUCUGGAAUCAAGAAUGAACAAAUAGUUUUUUGGCAAUUUUUAAAUAUUUGAAAAUAAACUGAAUUAAAAAUAUUAAAGAAUGGUCAAACUUCAAAAUAACUUCACAAUCAACUUUGAAAAGCCAAGUGAUUAUCCCAAGUUCAACAAGGUAAACAAAGUUUGAAAUUUUUUUUUGAGCAUUUUAAAAGUCGAAACUAUUUUUUAUCAAUUAAAAAUGAAUAAAAUAACCUAUUGAACUAAAAUCUCAAAUAAAUCUCAAUCAAUUAAAAGUGUGAUGAGAAUAUUUUUUCAAUAGAUCCUAUCAUUCAACUAGGUUGAGAAAUAUUUUUGAUUUUUUUGAAUAUCAAAAAUAUUAAAAUGAAUAAAAAUAACAGAAAAGAAGAAAAUUCACAAAAAAUAUCAAAUGAUGAAAUAAAAAAUAUUAAAAUCAUUGUUUAGGAAACUAGAAUUAAAAUAGAGAAAAAGCAAUUGUCCCCAUAUUUUUUGGAUUUUAAAAUGAGAGAGUUGUGAAUUUUUGAAGUUAAAUUGAAAUAAAAGAAAAAAAUUGGAAAAUUAUAAAAAUCAGAAAAAAACCACAGCGCUUGGAUGGAACCUCAUUAAUUGACGUGUCCAAUCUGAUGGUCAUGAAGCGCGCGCGUACCAAAGGCUCAAGUCAAACGCGUCACACAAUGCAUUUAAAAAAGUCAUAACAAACAAAGGUCAUGAUUCAAUCUAGGAAAUAGAUCAAACAGUCCACAUGGGAUCUGGCAACAGGGACGGUGGCCAGCGCCACCGUCUUCUCCGGUGAGCUCCGACGAGGGCAAAAAACACAGAGGUUCAAAUGCUCACCAAAAUGGACGAUCUAGGCAUCAAUCGAAAGAGGAAGUGAUGUACAUCACUCUUAUACCACUCACUUCCACUCUAGAUUCCUAUUAAGAGAGAAAUCAGAGAUGGAAGCUUGAUGGUGUUCGACAUGAACUUGCUUGAUUUCAAAAAUUGAGCAUACAGCAAUGAUGCCUCUAUAGAGAGGACUUCAGACAACACAAUAUCAAGGCCAACAGAUCAAAGAAUAAGGAGUUUCGAAGAACAAACCAGUUGAUGCACACCUUUGAAUUGUGAAGCUUUGAUUCCCUUUCCUUGGUUCCUUUUUCAAAACAGAACUUCAAUGGAUCAGAUGAUGAAGGUUUAGGAACUUUAGAUCUGAAGAUUCAACCAAAUUCAAUCGAAUUUCAGAUCUGAAUAUUUUGAAGAAAAUGGAUUUAGUUCCUUUGGUAUGGACAAUGGAUCAGAUGAUGAAGGUUUAGGAACUUUAGAUCUGAAGAUUCAACCAAAUUCAAUCGAAUUUCAGAUCUGAAUAUUUUGAAGAAAAUGGAUUUAGUUCCUUUGGUAUGGUUGGGAAUUCACUAUUGCAGCAUUUCAGGCGCCCUUAGGUUACCAUUUGAAGUGAGCAAGGCUUUCUAUUUAUAGAUGGAGCUGAUGCCAAGUGAGGAAAAACUUGUGUGCAUGAAGCUUUGGGUCCUCCGUGCAUGGGCCUGUACAGGCGCAUGCGAGGCCCAAAAGCUGAUGGAAAUGAAAGCUGAGCUCAUUCUGAAGUGAAAUGGACGUGCAUUUUGAAUGGUAUUUGCUUGGGCAUGAAGCUUUCACAUGAGUUCCAUAAUUAUGCCUAAAUGUUCACCUCUUCGAAAAUGCCAAUUAGAAAAUCCAAACAUAAGCAUGUGGGUAAUGGUUGGAAAGGUAUUGACAUAAGGAACAAAUGUUAUGUUGGACAAAAACUCAUUUGAAGUGUGGAAAUUUAUGAAGAAAAUCCAAACAUAAGCAUGUGGGUAAUGGUUGGAAAGGUAUUGACAUAAGGAACAAAUGUUAUGUUGGACAAAAACUCAUUUGAAGUGUGGAAAUUUAUGAAAACAGGCCAUGAAGUUCAUAGUACAAAACAUGCCUUUGAGAAUUUUGUCAAAAUGAACAACUUCAAACCCUUCUGAUUUGAUGAUGCAAGCUUCAAAUGAAAAAACCUCCAACAUCAAAGUUGUAGAUCUUUUCCAGAAAAUCAAGAUGGACUUAACGUUUACAUCAUUUAGAUUUUUGAUUAAGAAGUUAUGGGCACUUGAAGUUGGACUUUUUUGCCUUUCAAUGCAUUUGGUCCAAAGUGACCUAUAAUGUUUUGCAUUAUCACAUGUAUUUUCUUUGAAAUUAUUAAAUUUUGUUCAACAUAACAUUUGAAGUAGACAAAAUAAGAUUUCCAAUUAAUUUGAUCCCACCUCAAAAUCAUGAAAAAUAAAUGAGUUAUGUUCUUGGGAAGUUGACCCAAAAUUAGGGUUUCAGUCAAAAUGACCUAUAAUGUCUUAGAAUGGGAGAUUACCUUCCAAGAUUCAAAUCAAUUUUUAAUGAACAUGAAAGUUUUUCAUAUUGUCCUUAAGAACAUGUUUUCUUUUAGGAUCAUCUCCAUUUGACCAACACAUAAAAAGUUAGGUCUCAGUGCAUUUCAAAAUAGUCAGAUGAAUGGACUGAUCAACUUUUCAAGUCCACAACUCAUAUCUUGAUGAAUUGAUGAUUGAGGAUACUCAAAUAAGUUCAAAUAUGCAUGAAAUGAUGAAUUAAAGAACUUCCCUUGAUUUUAUUUGACCAUGGGCUAAGGUUGCCUCAUGAGCAAGGCAUUGUGGAUGAUCAGAUGAAUUAGGGUUUCCUUGAGGAACAAACCUCAAACCCUUUGACUUUCUUUGAUCAAAAUGAUGAAUUGAGAUGCUAGGGAGGCAUACUUGAUGGAUGAGAGCUUUGGGAACCAUUGCCAUGCUUGCUUUCAUCUUCUCUUGGCCAUAUCAUUGCACCAAUGAUCUCCUAGAAGCUUUGGGCCUUGAGAUUGCUCAAGCUACAAACAAGAAAUGUUAGUGACAUAUUUUUGUGCUUUUGGUUAGUGAAUAAAAAAUGAGAAAAGCAAUAAUAUACAAUUCAAGCAUGCUUGGUGAUCUCAAACCAAUCACAAGAGAUUGUGCUUUUGGUUAGUGAAUAAAAAAUGAGAAAAGCAAUAAUAUACAAUUCAAGCAUGCUUGGUGAUCUCAAACCAAUCACAAGAGAUACCACCCAAAGGCAAGGGGAACCAAAGUGCUUGUGAUCCUUGAGGCUUUGCAAAUGCAAUGUUAUGAUGCCAUAAGUAAUCUUAGGGCCAAAAUUGGGGUCUUACACCUUCUGAUGACUAUGUUACCUUGACUGAUGGAGGAGAACCUGAAUGUUAUGAUGAAGCCAUGGAGAGUGAUGAAAAGAAGAAGUGGCUGGAUGCUAUGCAAGAUGAAAUGAAGUCUUUGCAUGAUAAUCAUACUUUUGAUUUGGUGAAAUGGCCUAAGGGUAAGAAGGCUUUAGAAAACAGGUGGAUCUUCAGGGUGAAGCAAGAAAGCACUUCUACAUCUCCAAGGUAUAAAGCCAAAUUGGUUGUGAAAGGUUUCAGAUAGAGAAAGGGUGUUGAUUUCAAUGAGAUUUUUUCUCCUGUGGUGAAGAUGUCAUCCAUUAGAACCGUGUUGAGUUUGGCUGCUACUCAAUUAAACCUCCAUCUCGUUUACCUACAGUUUUGGCGAAACCUUCAUGGUGACUUGGAGGAAGAGAUUUACAUGAAGCAACCUGAUGGCUUUCUGGUUAAAGGCAAGGAAGACUAUGUGUGUAGGCUUAGAAAGAGUCUAUAUGGUUUGAAGCAGGCCCCGCGUCAGUGGUACAAGAAGUUUGAGUCAGUUAUGUGUGAGCAACGCUACAAGAAGACUACUUCUGAUCAUCGUGUCUUUGUUAAAAAGUUCGUUGAUGAUGAUUUCAUUAUCCUGUUAUUGUAUGUUGAUGACAUGCUUAUUAUUGGGAAAAAUAUUUCCAUGAUUGACAGGUUGAAGAAGCAAUUGGGCGAGUCAUUUGCCAUGAAAGACAUGGGAGCUGCUAAGUAGAUUCUUGGUAUAAGAAUCAUGUGUGACAGGAACAAGAAGAAACUUUGGCUGUCACAAGAACACUAUGUUGAAAGAGUGUUACAGAGGUUCCAGAUGGAAAAUGCUAAGCCUGUAAGUACUCCUCUUGCUACUCACUUUAAAUUGAGUACUAGUCAGAGUCCUUCCAAUGAAGCUGAAAAAUCAGAUAUGCAACGGGUUCCUUAUACAUCUGUUGUGGGUAGUUUAAUGUAUGAAAUGGUGUGUACAAGGCCUGAUAUUGCACAUGCUGUUGGUACAGUUAGUAGAUUUCUGUCUAAUCCAGGUAGAGAGCAUUGGAAUGCUGUGAAAUGGAUUUUGAGGUAUCUUUGUGGGAUACCCAGCUUGAGGCUUUGUUUUGGAGGUGAUAAGCCUACUCUUGUGGGAUACUGAUCUGAUAUGGCUGGAGAUAUUGAUUCCAGAAAGUCUACUUCAGGCUACUUGAUUAAGUUGCAGGGGAGUGUGUGCAUGGCAAUCCAGAUUGCAGAGGUGGUGUUGCAUUGUCCACUACUGAGCAGAGUUCAUUGCCAUUACAGAAGCAUGCAAGGUGUUAUGGUUGAAGAAAUUCUUGCAAGAGCUUGGUUUUGUUCAAGAUAAGUACUUGCUAUUUUGUGAUAGUCAAGGUGCAAUUCAUCUUGGUAAGAUUCAACUUUUCAUUCUAGGUCCAGCUGAUGUUAGGUAUCAUUGGAUACGUGAUGCUUUGGAUGCUGGGUUGUUGGAAUUGGCCAAGGUUCAUACAGAUGAUAAUGGUGCUGAUAUGAUGACCAAGGCAUUACCGAGAAACAAGUUUGAAACUUGUUGUGAGAUCGCCGAUUUGGCAGUCACCUCCACAUAGUUGUGAGGGGGAGAUAUGUUGGGUUUUGGGCUCCCUUCCUAUAUGGAGAAAGGCCCAAUAUAUGCAAGCCCAUAUGUCUCACUUAACCAAGUGGAGAGAGGUCAGAUUAGGGUAAGUGAGAGAGCUGAAUUCAAAAUAGUGAGGCAAGAGAAAAGUGAGAGAGGAAGAGCAAAACCCAUUUUCGCAUAAAAUAGAGCAGCUGCACUAGAUUCGCGAUUUCUCCUUCGUUCACCGUCGGAUCGGGAUGAAAUUUGGACAGCCGAUUCGUGACUCGUGGUACUUCAAUCUGACUGGUUGGAUCGUCGAUCAGAGGUCUGAGGUGGGAGAAAUCAAGCUCAGACAGUAGCAGUAUUUUCUGGUUUUUCUGUUGAACUUUGUUCUCAAUUUCAUGCUUGUUUUCUCAUUGUUUUGGCUGAUUGUUAUGUUGGUUACCUUGUUGUUUUUGGCUGGUUAUUGAGCACGAAUUUGUGCCAUAUUUAAAAGUCUCUUGUACCCAUAUUUUGGUCAUAGUGGAACUUUAUUACUGACUUGGUCCCGUGGUUGUUUACUUCUCACAUUGAGAAGGUUUUUCCACGUUUAAAAUUAUUGUGUCCCUUGUGUUGGUGAUUUUAGUUGCCGUGAUUAUUUGUUGUUGCUCCUCACAGAUUCUUGCAAGUUUGGGAAAUUGAUUAUCCGCUGCAUAUUGCUCUGUUAGAGUUGUUAUUGUUAUUUGUUGUUGAAUUUUCCCAUUUUAGUUGCCGUGAUUAUUUGUUGUUGCUCCUCACAGAUUCUUGCAAGUUUGGGAAAUUGAUUAUCCGCUGCAUAUUGCUCUGUUAGAGUUGUUAUUGUUAUUUGUUGUUGAAUUUUCCCAUCAGAAGAGGUGUAUGAAGAGAUCAUAAUGAAAAUGUAAGCGAGAGAUUGAAACAGGAAAAAGUCAAGGGAAGGUAAAUUUAUAGAGGUCCAAUAAAAUAGUGACAUUCAACAUAAGAGGGAGCCGAAACUCCAUAAAAAGAAAGAGAUUCAGCCAAAUUCUUUAAAAAGGAAAAGCAAAACUAUGCUUCUUGCAGGAGACAAAACCUCAGACUAUGCAAGAGUUUGGGGUGAAAGGUCUUUGGGGAAAUCAAGAGGUAUAUUGGUAGAAAAGGAGACAGAGGGUAUAUUUAGAGGAAUUCUAAUUAUGUGGGAAAUUACGCUCAAUCAAAUCCCAAAUUCAGUUUCAAAGGGUUUGGCUUUCUUGGAAUUAACCUUGACUGAAAAGGUAACACGUGUUACUUCAUUAGUAUUUAGUUAUCUUGUAAUAUAGUAGACAGGUUUUUAGGGUCUGAUGACUUCUCGACAAGUGUAUCGAUAGUUUCACAGUAAUAACAAGAUCAAAUUCACAGGGACUGCCUUUUAACAAGCUAAAAUGUGUGGAAUGUAUCGAAAAGACUAAAAUUGGGGGGAGGAGGGCUCGAGUUUGCAAUGCUAAAAUUUGAUAAGUGCUUAAACAGAAUUCCGAAAGCAGCCAGGUUGUGUUUAGAAUCCCCUAUUUCUCUAUUGUUGUUGAUGUUUUAUGCCUUGUAUGAAUGAUCUUAUCACUAUAACCCUACAGUGAAUUAACAAAGUCACUAUAACUAAUCCCUCGCGAAAUAACUCAUUAAUCACUACUUGGAGUUUUUUAUCCCUAGUCCACCAGCGGAAGUAGGAUUAGGCGAUACACAUAACAUUAAUUCCCUAUGUCACUACUCGGGGUCUCGUAUUCCUAUUUAACCAGCAUAAGUAUAACAAUUGUCCUAAAUCUAACACAUAGACUAAUGAAAGGGAUAAGUCAAGGUGAAAUAUCCUUCUUAGAAAGAGAUCUGAAGACCACUCCAUCUAGCAUUGGUCGAACAUCAUUUAGUUCCUUAAACCUCUUAGAGAAAUAAGAAAAAACGUGGUUUUAAUCUCUGUCACUCCUUAUACCCCAUCAUUGUCUUUUUCUUAAGGGUCAUAACAAUUUAUCUUAAAUAACAUAUACAUGAUCUACCCCGCCUACCUAAAUACUACAUUAUUUGGUAUAUGAAGCUACUUAUUUUAUAGAAGAAAAUAAAUUAGAAUUUCACAAAAUAAUUAUUAAUAAGAAGCCUAUAUAAUAAAAACUGUAGUGUAGUCCCAUAAAUGCUACUCUAUUUUUAUUUUCUUUUUUUAUAUAAAAAAGGGGGCUAAAAACCCAACGAAAAAAGAAGUCUAAAUACACCCUCUAACACGUUUAAAGAGUGAAGUCUCGAAAUUAUCAUCAUUUCAACUCAUUUGACAUGAGAUUCAAAAGAAUGAGGAAUUCAUGAUUGUCAAAGUAAGAUUAUAAUUAGCUAUCCAAAUUGUACUAUGAUUUCCUUCCUGCCACGAAUGGUUGAACUUGAUGUGUCAAUUCUUAUUAGUCAUCCUUAUGAUUCUAUGAAUUAAGGUUACUCAGUUGUGAUCUUCCUUAGUAUCUUGGUUAACCAUAUCUAUCAUGACUUUAGAAUCACUCUCUACCAUCAAAUUUGUAAUUCUAUCAUAUCUCGUUAGCUCAAUCUCAUGCAACAUCAUACGCAUCCCCGCGGUGAAAAUAUUACACAAAUCAAUUUUUUGUGAAUAGCUCAUCACCAAGUUUUUGGAGGAGACUUUAAACAAGCGUUGCAAGUUGACUUUUUGGAGACACCAUCGCAAUUGAUGUCGCUCGACUUUUUUAUAUCAAUUUAAUUCAUAGAAUAUAUGUGAAUGAAACCAUAAAAUUGAAAUUUUAAUACUCUUUUCCAAUAAUAUAAUAAUUUUAUAAAAAUAAAAUUCUUACAAUACAUUUCAUUUUGUGCAUAACUAUGAUGUCACAAAAUUUUUGCGAUAUAUUUAUUUUAUAAAAUAUCCUCCCUAUCAUAAAAGUUUGAAGAGUUAAUUGGAAACAAAUAAAUUUCAAUUAUUGGAAACACAUAAGAGACAAUUAGGAAUCAUUCUAAUUUUACAGAUGGUAUUUUACAACCUCUUAAGAGGUAAAAUUAUAUAUUUUUAAAUUAUCACAACAUGUACUUUAUACACUAUAAAAGAUUCAAACCACAUUCGAUUUGUUUCAUGUAAAGAGAGAAAAAUAUGGUUAAAACUAUUAAGUUUGUUUAUGCUUUAAUUUUAUUUCUUUUUAUAAUUUUUAUUGCAAAGAAUGUUGAUGGUAAUUUACCUUUUUCAUCCAUUUCAAAAUCCCUUCUUUAAUUGCAAUUCGUAUAAAUAAUUAUUUAUUUAUUUUAGUAACAUUUAUUUUGUUAUUUCUUUACAGCAUUACAAGACUGUAAAGUGGAUGCUGAUUGUCCACAAAAUUCUUGGACUCGCAUAUAUAGGUGCAUUGAAAACAAAUGUAGAUAUACAAGAGUGAUGAAAUAUAAUGAAUGACUAUGUGGCCCUAGAGACUAUAUUUACAACAUGAAGAGAAGAAUAAGUUUUUACACUAAUAAAAAUCUAUUCAAUAGACAUUUUUAUUUUUUAUUUUGCGGAAUUUGAGAUUAUGGCUUUGUAAUUUAAAAUCUUUAUAAUAAAAUGAAAUAAGGCAUUGAAGAAUAUUAUAAUUAGAGUGUUUUUUUCUCUAUUUUGGCUGCAUUGGCUUCCCAUCUAUCCAAAUUUCCAUUGAAUCUAACAUUGUUUUUAGUUGUAAGCAUAAUUAAGAAGGAAUG
rnacentral:lncRNA from 1 species